UAAAAAAUACGGUCCAAUUUUAUUGAUGUUGGUUGUUUCGUAUGUAUUGUUUCACGUAAACUGCUUUGUAAUAAACAAGAUAUUGGAAAUUUAAGUUCUGGUUUAGAUUGAGUUUCUCCUCCUCUGGCAGAAGCAAUGAAACGACUUAAUGUGUCCCAAAUUCCACCCAGAAAAAUGAAACAGAAUAAGUUUUCAAAUGGAGCAAAUGGAUCGUGAAUGCCCAGAAGUACAGACGAUAAUUUAAAGUAAAUGAAGAAAAUGACAACACCAAAAUAAACAAGAGCAUGGGGCGCAGAAAUGAGUUCGGUCUUCUUGUCGACAAUAAAGAUUAUAGAAGCAGCAAUGCAAGCUUUUGUUGGACUGUAGAAUAAAUAAAUUUAUGAUAAUAUAUCGUU